rnacentral:rRNA from 1 species
UACAGAGGUCCCAAGCGUUGUUCGGAUUCACUGGGCGUAAAGCGCGUGUAGGCGGCUCGGUAAGUCUGCUGUGAAAGUCCAGGGCUCAACCCUGGAACGCCGGUGGAUACUGUCGAGCUCGAGUCCGGAAGAGGCGAGUGGAAUUCCUGGUGUAGCGGUGAAAUGCGCAGAUAUCAGGAGGAACACCAAUGGCGAAGGCAGCUCGCUGGGACGGUACUGACGCUGAGACGCGAAAGCGUGGGGAGCAAACAGG